AUAAGAUUUAAUAUGAUAGUUAUAUAAAACACAUGUUGUGUUAGGCUCUGGUCCUGUCCAUAACGUUAUAGUAUGGUAUUAGUUUUCUGUUUGGCUUUUUCCAAUCAUAUUGUGUUGUAAAAUGAUGCCCUUUAUGGGUUCUUGAUUAGAUAAAUAAAAUUCUUAUAUUUAUGUUUGACGACGAAAGAUGCAUGUAAUGCCGUGUUGACGAUGUGUGGAUGAAAUAAAUCAAUUGAUGAGUGUGUCUACCUUGUUAAUCGUGAGUUACCAAGUGCACUACCU
rnacentral:lncRNA from 1 species